rnacentral:rRNA from 1 species
UACGUAGGGUGCAAGCGUUGUCCGGAAUUAUUGGGCGUAAAGAGCUCGUAGGCGGUCUGUCGCGUCGGCUGUGAAAUCCCGGAGCUCAACUCCGGGCCUGCAGUCGAUACGGGCAGACUGGAGUUCGGCAGGGGAGACUGGAAUUCCUGGUGUAGCGGUGAAAUGCGCAGAUAUCAGGAGGAACACCGGUGGCGAAGGCGGGUCUCUGGGCCGAUACUGACGUGAGGAGCGAAAAGCGUGGGGGAGCAAACAGG